rnacentral:rRNA from 1 species
GAUGAACGCUGGCGGCGUGCCUAAUACAUGCAAGUCGAGCGAACGGACGAGAAGCUUGCUUCUCUGAUGUUAGCGGCGGACGGGUGAGUAACACGUGGAUAACCUACCUAUAAGACUGGGAUAACCUCGGGAAACCGGAGCUAAUACCGGAUGAUAUUUUGAACCGCAUGGUUCAAAAGUGAAAGACGGUCUUGCUGUCACUUAUAGAUGGAUCCGCGCUGCAUUAGCUAGUUGGUAAGGUAACGGCUUACCAAGGCAACGAUGCAUAGCCGACCUGAGAGGGUGAUCGGCCGCACUGGAACUGAGACACGGUCCAGACUCCUACGGGAGGCAGCAGUAGGGAAUCUUCCGCAAUGGGCGAAAGCCUGACGGAGCAACGCCGCGUGAGUGAUGAAGGUCUUCGGAUCGUAAAACUCUGUUAUUAGGGAAGAACAUAUGUGUAAGUAACUGUGCACAUCUUGACGGUACCUAAUCAGAAAGCCACGGCUAACUACGUG